UUCAGUAUCAGCUCAAGAUUGAACGCUGGCGGGAUGCUUUGCGCCACGUCGAACGGCAACACGGACUUCGGUCUGGUGAGUGGCGAACGGGUGAAGUAAUGUAUCGGAACGUUACUGUGUGGCAGGGGAUAACUACGCGAAAGCGUAGCUAAUACCACAUACGCCCUUCGGGGAAAGCGGGGGGACCUUCGGGCCUCACUAUUAGAGCGGCCGAUAUCGGAUUGGCUAGUUGGUGGGGUAACGGCUCACCAAGGCGACGAUCCGUAGCUGGUUUGAGGAGGACGACCAGCCACACUGGGACUGAGACACGGCCCAGACUCCUACGAGGAGGCAGCAGUGGGGAAUUUUGGACAAUGGAAACCCUGAUCCAGCCAUCCGCGUGUGCGAUGAAGGCCUUCGGAGUUGUAAAGCACUUUUGGCAGGAAAGAAACGGCACGGGAUAAUACCCCACGUGCAACUGACAGUACCUGCAGAAUAAGCACCGGCUAACUACGUGCCAGCAGCCGCGGUAAUACGUAAGUGCAAGCGUUAAUCGGAAUUACUGGGCGUAAAGCGUGCGCAGGCGGUUCAAGAAGAAAGAUGCUUAGAAAUCGAAACCAACUUUGGAACUGCAUUACUUUACCGACUAGAAUUAUUGUCAGAGGGAGGGGUGGAAUUCCGCGUGUAGCAGUGAAAUGCGUAGAUAUGCGGAGGAACACCGAUGGCGAAAACGUAGCCUCGCAAGGAUAACACUGACGCUCAUGCGAAAAGCGUGGGAGCAAACAGGAUUAGAUACCCUGGUAGUCCACGCCUAAACGAUGUCAACUAGCUGUUGUUGGGGCCUUCGGGCCUUGGUAGCGCAACUAACGCGUGAAGUUGACCGCCUGGGAGAUACGGUCGCAAGAUUAAAACUCAAAGGAAUUGACGGGGACCCGCACAAGCGGUGGAUGAUGUGGAUUAAUUCGAUGCAGCACUUGAAAAACCUUACCUACCCUUGACAUGUCUGGAAUCCCGAAGAAGUUGGGUGCUCGCAAGAGAACCGGAACUGGAGUUAGCUGCGCCAGCUCUCGUCAGCUCCGUAUCGUGAGAUGUUGGGUUAAGUCCACAGCGACGCAACCCUAUAUUAGUUGCUACGAAGAACACUCAGCGGACCCCGCGACAAACCGGAGGAAGGUGGGGAUGACGUCAAGUCCUCAUGGCCCUUAUGGGUAGGGCUACGUAAUACAGUAACAGCAUUCGGGACAGAGGGUCGCCCAACCCGCGAGGGGGAGCCAAUCCCAGAAACCCGAUCAGUCGGAUCGCGGAGUCUGCAACUCGACUGUGAAGUCCGGAAUCCGCUAGUAAUCGCGGAUCAGCAUGUCGCGGUGAAUGCGUUCCCGGGUCUUGUACACUGCCGCCCGUCACACCAUGGGAGUGGGUUUUGCCAGAAGUAGUUAGCCUAACCGUAAGGAGGGCGUUCUACAUGACCGGAUUCAUGACGGAACAAUCUGCUGCGGGUAA
rnacentral:rRNA from 1 species